UACACGCUCCUUAGAUCCACCUUUGGGACUUCUGUCUCUGACAGAUUUCCAGCAACUUUACUGGUUGUUUAUCGAAGGUGCUUGAGUCAUAGGCGUGUGACAUUAAUAUACCUCAGUUUUACUACAAUUUUCAAACACCUAGGAUACACAUUUCCUAAUGCAUGGUUUGAAAAAUCAAGUAAACUGGGACACC